AGCGCGGGACAGGAGGGUCAACAAACAAAAUUGGCGACAACCUCAAUUCUUGGCGCUCAGAUUUCCCCCAAAAAUAAAACCUAAUCUCACCUUUCUUCUCACUUGCCCACGUUUCCUUGCUUCACACACCACAGUAGCAGCUCCAUCCCUGUACUCUCCAAUCUCUCUUCCAUUUCUCUCCCAACAGAACGUGCUUUCAGUUCUCCUCAAUCCAUUUCUUCCCCAUGCCAAUUCUCCCUCAUUAAUCUAGCUUCAACCACUAAAUCUGAGAAGCAUAUAUUUCCUCGGUCUGCUCCAGCACGCAGCACAUUUCUUCUUCCAUGGGCUGAGGAUUGAUGACUCUCUCCACCAAGCAAAUCUGGGGGGCAUCUAGGUAAAGGCUGUGAGGAGCAAAUCAAGGAGGCAGCUAGUACAGUGUAAGACAUGACGGAGGACCGUAGUUGGAUGUAUACUGGGCGUCAAAAGAGAGAUUCAUUCACAGAUGAGUGGCUUGAAAAGGCAAAGGCAUUUAUUGAGCAUGCAUUUCGUGUUGUGCCGAAUGCUAAUGUUGACGGAGUGAGAUGCCCUUGUGCAUUUUGUUUGAAUUGCAAGCUAUAGAGCAAAGAAGUUAUGCAGUUUCAUUUAGGAAAAUAUGGUUUCAAAGCCAAUUAUGAGGUAUGGAUAGCACAUGGUGAGACAUUGGCAACUCAAGAGCAAUCUACUCCGGAAGAUGGGUCUGAAUCAGUUGGACGGAUGGAGCCUGCUACUAACUGGAAACACUAUCAGGCUGCUGUAGAUCCUCUUGGAGAGUAUGGAAACUUGCUUGAAAGAGUUGAGGCUGACUUUUGGGCACAGUAUAGAUGGAAGGAGGGGCAUGAGGCACAUGCUAAAAAAGUUCUGUUUAAUGUCAUCAAGAACAAAAUUGGUCAAAUGUUAUACUGGACACGUAUUCAGGCUGUUCUAAGAUACUAUAAGGAGAUUCUGAAAAUUCCUACGAAAGAGGAGGAGGCCUGCACAAUUUAUCUUACUCAAGAGCAGUACAUUCAGUGCAGGCAAAACCUUGUUGGAUGCAAUUAAAACCAGUUGCAUGGAGCUUACGAGCAAGGAGGUGGGCUUCAGAACAAUAGAAGAACAAAUCAGUGAGUUCACGAGAGAAGGAAAAGAAACAGAAAGCCAUGCCAUCGACAGGGUAGUUGUUCUCUAGUUCGCUUGUGCCAGAAACAGGGACAAAAAGAAGGUCGGGAGAUCAGUAGACUAGAGGGCUAUAUUUAUGGACACAGAAGCAAGACAUCACAGGACCCAAAUGUGCUUUGCAAUGAUAAUUCAACCAAUAGAUUGGCAUCAUAUAAAGGUGUUCUUAGGAAGAAACAUGACCCUACUUGUGACUGGAUGAACCAGCCAAUAGAUGGAAGUACAGUUUAUCAGGCUUUGCGGUGGUAAAAAACAUGGAUGUUUUGGAAUAUGUGAUGGCUUAAUUAACACUUCUGUGUCCUCCAUGAUGUUAGAGCAGAGACCUCCUCAGGAGAGAGAAUCAACAAGACACUUGAUAGGAUGUCACAGCUAGAAGAGCGCAAUCGUGCGCAAAAUAACCAAGCUCAAGAGCAAAUUCGUGAGCAAGUUGCAGCAGCUGUUCAUGCAACCAAUGAAUAUUGGUUGAAAUACAUUCAGAACCUUGUUGAGAAGAAUGGUGCAAAUUCCUUGGUGUUGCCUUCUCCUCCACCAUUCUGCUUUCCAACUCAGCUGGCAUCUGAUCCAGGACCUGCAACACAUGAAGCAUCACAAGGUGACAGUGGGAUCGGUGGCAUAAAUGAUGGUGGCACUCCUACUGUUGGCAACUGUGGUUGAUUCAUUUAAAAGUAUUAGGUGUAGGGAGUAGAUCAUAUUUUGGAUAAACUUUCAUAUGGUUAGUUUCUAGAUGGUACUAAAUGUGAACCUAAUUAACUAGGCUACUUUGAACUAUGCUGAUGUGGUAUCAGUACAGAGGACUGAAGACACUUGUUUAGCUAUUUUGGUUCGAGAUGUGAUUCAGCUUUUGUGUGAUAAAUGACCACCUUAUAUUUAUGAUAUUUGAAUGUGCUAUACAUGCAUGUUGAGGUUGAA